rnacentral:lncRNA from 1 species
ACGGCGAUGGAAACUUUCUCAAGCUUUCCAUAGCCACCAAGAGAUUGUCACCAUGCUCCAAAGCUCCACUCUAUCAAUUCCUAGCCCAGGGACCCUUCCUCCAUGAAGCCCAGCCUCCUCUGAAUGUUUUAGGGAGGAAAAAUGGUGAAGAAUGGAAGAGAUCUCGAGAAAAAUCGUGUUCUGGCCUUUUAUAAGGGUCCAAGGCGGUUUAUCUCGCUUAAGCGAGCCUCAGAUUCGCUUAAGCGAGAGCCUUUUCUUAACUCUGAAGUACUCUUCUCGCUUAAGCGAGCACAAGUCUCGCUUAAGCGAGGGUUCACUUUCCUUCUAUGCCACUGAAUGGUUCGCUUAAGCGAGAAAGAAUUCGGCUUAAGCGAGAUUGUCUUCCAGAAUUGAUACCCUCUGCCAUAUAAUUUCGCUUAAGCGAGUAAACAUUUGGCUUAAGCGAAAUUCUUCAUUUCUUGGCCUUUUGACAUCUUGUGGCAUAGAUCUUUAUAGAUUUUCACCUAUCAUUGAAAACAAAAGAUUAAAUGUGAAAAAUAUAAUAUUUACUCUAUUUCUAUACUAUAAUUAAGUAUUUACUAAAUCAACUACUUAUGGGGAUAAAAUAAUCAACAAUGCAAGCAUAUAGGUCAAAUAAGUGCUUAAAAUGAUAUUUAAAACACGUAGAAUUGACACUUAUCAAUACAUCGACUUUAGUUGUGGUUUUAACCGCCAUCAUUUUUUUGUGGUUGUAAAAAACAGCUGCUAAAGUGCAUGUUUGAUAGCGGGCGACACUGCGUCUGUUUAUGUAUAACAUUUGUUUGUGUAUAAUAGCUAUAAAUAUAAAGAAAGUACUUUAUUUACUUAACUUGAACAUCCAAACAAUUUAGUAACAGUUUUUUACCGUAAAUCUGUAUGUUAGAAGGUGGUCGAUAAAAUCCAUAUGUACACUUAUUUUUGUUUUUAUUUUGAAUAGAAUGAGAGUAAUUUGAUGUAACACACGAACCAUUAGAACGCAAGAUAUUUAAUAAGAUUAAGAUAUUCAUCUGGUUUACGCCAAUAUAGAGAGACACGUAAUCAUUUGACAUCAUGAUGUUUAGGAUUUGCUUGUUAACUGGAAUGACGGCAAUCAAGAAUUUUCAUGAAAAGAUUGAAACCUGGUUUACGUGUCGAAUAUUUUCUGGCAUUCUUCCACCGUGACUUCAAUAAAUGAUCUUCAUUUCUCACAACCAAUUCGUAGUGAAAAUGAUAACUGAAAACACCAUUAGGUGCAUUUUUCCUUAAUGUGCUGUAAACACCCAAACAACUUUGCAUCAGAAGAAAUGAAAAACCUGUGAAAUCUUACCUUAUAACUCAUCCAUCAUGUGACAGAAAUUAAG